AAUAUUUUUUUCUUUCAAAAAAAUUAUGAUAUCCUGUAUAAAUAUUAUGCCAUCUUGCAUUGAAAUUAUGACUUCCUAUAAAGGAUGUCAUAAUUUUUUUAUGGAAUGUCAAAAAGAAGAAAGAAUAUUUUCAUCGCUAAACGAGGUGGUGUGUUCCACGUUGGAUUUUUUAUACCGCAGGCGGUGUACAAAGAAUUCCUCUAAUAAUUGAUAAGUAGUAUCAAUUCAUUGGGCUUC
rnacentral:lncRNA from 1 species